rnacentral:rRNA from 1 species
CGGGUUGCUGCAGCAGUGAGGAAUAUUGCACAAUGGGGGGAACCCUGAUGCAGCAACGCCGCGUGGAGGAUGACGCAUUUCGGUGUGUAAACUCCUUUUAUAUGUCAAGAAAAUGACGGUAGCAUAUGAAUAAGCACCGGCUAACUCCGUGCCAGCAGCCGCGGUAAUACGGAGGGUGCAAGCGUUACUCGGAAUCACUGGGCGUAAAGGACGCGUAGGCGGGUUGGAAAGUCAGGUGUGAAAUCCUACAGCUUAACUGUAGAACUGCACUUGAAACUUCUAAUCUAGAGUAUGGGAGGGGGAGAUGGAAUUAGUGGUGUAGGGGUAAAAUCCGUAGAUAUCACUAGGAAUACCUAAAGCGAAGGCGAUCUCCUGGAACACUACUGACGCUAAGGCGUGAAAGCGUGGGGAGCAAACAGGAUUAGAUACCCCCGUAGUC